GGGAUUACAGGCAUGAGCCACCGCGCCCAGCUUCUGUAUUUCUUUUCAAAUUUUAUUGAGGAUUUUUUAUGUCCUAGCCUGUGGUCUAUCCUGGAGGAUGUUUGUGUGUGAGACAAUGUAUAUUCAUCAACAUCUUAGAUUCCAUUUUGAUUGCUUCCGUAGAAACUGUGUGUCCUUGUGCUGGAACUCCGGUGAACACCUGGCUCAAUAUCCAUUGCUCUUCUCUAGAAAUCCAGCCCAGUUCUCUUGGUUAAAUAUAAGAUAUGUGUAGCAGGCAUUGCUUUUUCUUUCCAGAGACAAAACUCAGGAGGAUUGCCCCUUGAUGAACAAAGCUAACCUGCUGAUUCUUUGAAGCAAGUAACUGGAGAUCCUCCUUUUAGGGGUUUAUAUUCUGGAUUCCAGAAAACAUGCAAACAGGGCCAAUAAAUGCAUCUUUAUGUUUCUGUCCAUUUUAACUUGAUCUAGGAAAAUUCCAACAAAAAACCCACGGUGCUGGAGCAAGAUCUCAGGCUGUGACCUUCUCGAGGAAAGAAGCACUUUCUGUUGUCUGAAAGAAAAGAAAGUGCUUCCUUUCAGAGGGUUACGGUUUGAGAAAAGCAACGUUGAAGUUGACGCUGAUCUUGGUAAUACAUUUGCAGAGCGUGCUGAUCAUCAGACGUGGAUAAUGGUGGGGUUUUGUUUUUUAUCUAAGACAGGGUGUCUGUUCCCCAGGCUGGAGUGCGGUGGCACUUCCAACUUAGAUCUCUUGGGUUCAAGUGGCCCUCUUUUUGGGACAGAGUCUCACUCUGUGGCCCUGGCUGGAGUGCAGUGGCAGGAACUUGGCUCACUGCAAUCUCUGCCUCCUGGGUUCAAGCAAUUCUCCUGCCUCAGCCUCCGGAGCAGCUGGGGUUACAGGCUGUGCCACCAUGCCCAGCUAACUUUUGCAUUUUUAUUAUUGAUUUAUUGAUUUAUUUUUGAGACAGGGUCUGGCUCUGUCACCCAGGCUAUAGGGCAGUGGUGCGAUCUCGGCUCACUGCAACCUCCACCUCCCACCUCAGCCUCCUGAAUACCUGUCUCCAGGCAUGCACUACCACACCUGCCUAACUUUUGUAUUUUUUGUAUAGAUGAGGUUUCACCAUGUUGCCCAGGCUGGUCUCGGACCCUUGAGCUCAAUUGCUCCUCCCGCCUGGGCCUCCAAAACUGCUGUGAUUAAUGGUGUGAGCAAGCGUGCCCUACUCUUGUGUGUUUCUGCUCAAAUUUUAUGGAGGAGCUUUUACAUCCCAGCCUGUGGUCUAUCCUGGAGAAUGUUUGUGUGUGUGACAAUGUAUAUUCUUCAACAUUUUAGAUUCCAUUUGGAUGCUCCCAUCCGGACUGUGUGCCCCUGUACUGGAACUCAAGUGAACACUUGGCUCAACAUCCAUUGCUGUUCUCAUGAAUUCCAGGCCAAUUGUCUUGGUUAAAGACAAGACGGUGUUUCCCUCUUGUUGCCCAGGCUGGAGUGCAAUGGCAUGAUCUCGGAUCACUGCAACCUCCACCUCCCUGGUUCAAGCGAUUCUCCUGCCUCAGCCUCCCGAGCAGCUGGGAUUACAGGCAUGCAUCACCACGCCCGGCUAAUUCUUUGUAUUUUUAGUAGAGAUGGGAUUUCUCCAUGUUGGUCAGGCUGAUCUUGAACUCCCAACCUUAGGUGAUCCACCCACCUCGGCCUCCCAAAGUGCUGGGAUUACAGGCAUGAGCCAUUGUGCCCGGCCCAUUUCAUUUAUUUUUAUGUGUGCUGCUGAAGCAAGCACUUAUGUGUAGGAAUUGUUCUUCCUGUGAGCAUAUGUUGGCCAGCCUGGACCACAUACCAAGAUCCCAUCUCUUUAAAAACACAGAUUACGUGGCACCUGGCACCUGGUCCCAGAGACUUCAUUUGGGUUGGUCAUUUGAAACACUAGCCUCCCAUCAAUUUAGUGUAAUCAAUCCAAAUCAUGUGUCCUUCAUUAAGAGACUAAGAACGCCUCCACGUCUAUCCAGUCUAUUUUGUAAUCCCCAACGGUUGUCAAUAUUAAUAAAAUUUCUUUUCUUUUUCCUA